rnacentral:rRNA from 1 species
UGGGGAAUAUUGGACAAUGGGCGAAAGCCUGAUCCAGCCAUGCCGCGUGUGUGAAGAAGGUCUUCGGAUUGUAAAGCACUUUAAGUUGGGAGGAAGGGCAGUAAGCGAAUACCUUGCUGUGUUGACGUUACCGACAGAAUAAGCACCGGCUAACUCUGUGCCAGCAGCCGCGGUAAUACAGAGGGUGCAAGCGUUAAUCGGAAUUACUGGGCGUAAAGCGCGCGUAGGUGGUUCGUUAAGUUGAAUGUGAAAGCCCCGGGCUCAACCUGGGAACUGCAACCAAAACUGGCGAGCUAGAGUAGGGCAGAGGGUGGUGGAAUUUCCUGUGUAGCGGUGAAAUGCGUAGAUAUAGGAAGGAACACCAGUGGCGAAGGCGACCACCUGGGCUCAUACUGACACUGAGGUGCGAAAGCGUGGGGAGCAAACAGG